rnacentral:tRNA from 1 species
GGCAUGACUAGAAAUCAUGUGGGUUUUGCCCGCGCAGGUUCGAAUCCUGCCGUUCACGUUUUUAUUUUGAGUGUUGGUAAGUUCUUAUAAUUACUUAUUGUGUUUUAUGGAUCGUCUUUGAAUUUGAACGGUUUUCCAUCAUGUUACCGUUUUCAGUAAAAUUUAGUAUUGAUAAAAAACCUCUAAAAAAAACAAGAUAGCAUGAAAGAUAUGAAGUCAACUUUCUUUCUACUCCUCUUCUUGAUAAGUUUAAAUUUGAUUAAAAAGCUCUUCUUGAAUCAUCAACAUGCAUAAAGUGUUAUAAUACAAAACCGACCUUAGCUCAGUUGGUAGAGCGGAGGACUGUAGUUGACGCAGAUUAUCCUUAGGUCACUGGUUCGAAUCCGGUAGGUCGGAUCAUAAAAGUUUAAAGUUUUUUUUAGUUCAUUUCGUUUCAAAGUGAUUAGAGAAGAGUAUAACUACAAACUCGUUUUUCUAUGAGAAUUUGUUUUAGAGAAUUGCAUAGCUACUGACUGUAUUAUCAGAAAAGAGUGGGAACUCUCGAAGUAAUUUUCACUGUAUUUUAAACCGUUCAAGGGUAAACCCUCAUUUUCUUAUAUUUACGAGAUUUAUGCAAGUAUUUUUCUAAUAUAAUGUUUUUAUAAAUUCAAACUUUGUUUUCAAACUUUUAAUAGAGAAUCACUAUGAGUAUGCUAACUUAAUACAAAUCAUUGUGUUCAUAGAAUAUUUAGAUCAGUACACAUGCAUGAAAUAGAAUACAAUCCGACCUUAGCUCAGUUGGUAGAGCGGAGGACUGUAGUAGACGUAGAUUAUCCUUAGGUCACUGGUUCGAAUCCGGUAGGUCGGAAUUUGCUCCCACAGGAGAGCUUUUUAUUUUUCUUUUGUUGUGACAUUAAAGUUUUUAAAAUUUUAUAAUAAACGGUUAUAUGGUGGUCGACAAUUAAACAUACCAAAAAGUUUAGCUCGAAUUCUUCAACGAUCCGUAUGUUUAUCUUUUUCAAUAUUGAUACGAUGAAAAAUGAUUUAAAAGUGACUAAAAACUAUGAGUUUUCUAAUUUUCUUUGGUCAAACAAACAUUUAGUUUUAGAGUUUUAAA